AUGUUACCCUCGGAGGACACCUCACUUCCCUUCAAGCUUAAGAGAAAACAGUUCCCCAUCCGCCUGAGUUUUGCAAUGACCAUUAACAAGGCACAGGGUCAAAGCGUCCCAAAUGUUGGUAUUUACCUUCCAGAGCCUGUAUUCUCACAUGGCCAGCUAUAUGCUGCAUUGUCAAGAAGUGUGUCAAGACAGACAACGCGGAUUUUAGCCAAGCCUAAUAGGGAGGUUGAUAAAUCUGGGAGAAGCACCAAAAACAUUAUGUACAGAGAUGUUUUAGAGGGGUUUUUAUCAGAUCGC
rnacentral:rRNA from 1 species